GACGAACGCUGGCGGCGUGCUUAACACAUGCGAGUCGAACGAUGAAGCCUUAGCUUGCUUUGGUGGAUUAGUGGCGAACGGGUGAGUAACACGUGAGCAACGUGCCCAGGACUCUGGAAUAACCGCGGGAAACCGUGGCUAAUACCGGAUAGGUGCCGAGGCCGCAUGGUCUUCGGUUGGAAAGUUUUUGCGGUUCUGGAUCGGCUCACGGCCUAUCAGCUUGUUGGUGGGGUAAUGGCCUACCAAGGCGACGACGGGUAGCCGGCCUGAGAGGGUGACCGGCCACACUGGGACUGAGACACGGCCCAGACUCCUACGGGAGGCAGCAGUGGGGAAUAUUGCACAAUGGGCGCAAGCCUGAUGCAGCAACGCCGCGUGGGGGAUGACGGCCUUCGGGUUGUAAACCUCUUUUAGUAGGGAAGAAGCGCAAGUGACGGUACCUGCAGAAAAAGCACCGGCUAACUACGUG
rnacentral:rRNA from 1 species